rnacentral:rRNA from 1 species
AAACGACAUCGAAAGCUUGCUUUUGAUGGGCGUCGACCGGCGCACGGGUGAGUAACGCGUAUCCAACCUGCCCACCACUUGGGGAUAACCUUGCGAAAGUAAGACUAAUACCCAAUGAUAUCUCUAGAAGACAUCUGAAAGAGAUUAAAGAUUUAUCGGUGAUGGAUGGGGAUGCGUCUGAUUAGCUUGUUGGCGGGGUAACGGCCCACCAAGGCGACGAUCAGUAGGGGUUCUGAGAGGAAGGUCCCCCACAUUGGAACUGAGACACGGUCCAAACUCCUACGGGAGGCAGCAGUGAGGAAUAUUGGUCAAUGGACGAGAGUCUGAACCAGCCAAAGUAGCGUGCAGGAUGACGGCCCUAUGGGUUGUAAACUGCUUUUAUAAGGGAAUAAAGUGAGUCUCGUGAGACUUUUUGCAUGUACCUUAUGAAUAAGGACCGGCUAAUUCCGUGCCAGCAGCCGCGGUAAUACGGAAGGUCCGGGCGUUAUCCGGAUUUAUUGGGUUUAAAGGGAGCGUAGGCCGGAGAUUAAGCGUGUUGUGAAAUGUAGGCGCUCAACGUCUGCACUGCAGCGCGAACUGGUUUCCUUGAGUACGCACAAAGUGGGCGGAAUUCGUGGUGUAGCGGUGAAAUGCUUAGAUAUCACGAAGAACUCCGAUUGCGAAGGCAGCUCACUGGAGCGCAACUGACGCUGAAGCUCGAAAGUGCGGGUAUCGAACAGGAUUAGAUACCCUGGUAGUCCGCACGGUAAACGAUGGAUGCCCGCUGUUGGUCUGAAUAGGUCAGCGGCC